rnacentral:rRNA from 1 species
UACGUAGGGUGCAGGCGUUAAUCGGAAUUACUGGGCGUAAAGCGUGCGCAGGCGGUCUAUUAAGACAGGUGUGAAAUCCCCGGGCUUAACCUGGGAACUGCGCUUGUAACUGAUAGGCUUGAGUGUGGCAGGAGGGGGUGGAAUUCCAGGUGUAGCAGUGAAAUGCGUAGAUAUCUGGAGGAACACCGAUGGCGAAGGCAGCCCCCUGGGCUAACACUGACGCUCAUGCACG